GGAAAGCCCUGUAGUUCAACACCAAAACAGCAGCAGCGCAAUGGUGUGGCUUUGGGCAGAUCUGGAAACAAUUUCUUUGCACCCUUCCGGAGAUGGAAGGUUUCAUCCCUCCAACAAGACAGCUCACUGGUUGAGAGGACUUCACUAGGCUUUUCCUGACUCCCCCUUGGAAGAGACUGGAGCUCCUGCAGGGAGAUCAGCCUCAGAGUCGGGAAGAGAACUGGAAUAGCUCGGGGCGCAGAUCCGUUCUUGCAACUCACGCGGGUCAGCUCUUUAAUGUCACUCCUCUCAAAAAAAACAACCACCCAGCCAGGCCUAUCUCCAGAAAGGAGGACUUCCCCCCAGCUUCCACAAGCUGCUGAGCCACACUGUGACUGCAGGAAAGAAACUAAGGAUCAGACAGGUAGCCCAACGGCUUCUGCAAGAGCAACUAAUCACAAUGUAAGCUCGUCAUUGACAUACUGUGAAAAACAAUUAAUUAAAGAGCUACAAGCAAACCUAUGCACUAGUGUAAGAGAUACCGUUACUUCCAGGCAUGGUGUGAUUGACUUCACGGCAGCCACUUCUGAUAACAUACAUAUGCCUGGGCAUGCACAUGUAUAUACGUAUGUAGUUACACACAAACAUACACAUACUAUAUAUGCACACACACACACACGUGUGCACUUAUUCGCUCGCACCCACACAAAUAUACAUAUGACACGAGCACACACUUUUGGGAGGAUAAAAUCUCCAAGCUGAAAUCUAUCGACUCAUGGUGAGGCUGGGAGCAGCAAUUCAUUUCCCACACCCUGGCAGCAAGCGAGAGUGGACAAGUCAGGUGCCACAUUACACUCCAUAUUGGAUUUCUAUAUAUAACAUCAGUGAGAUGUCACAGCUCCAAUGAUUUGUUUUUGGCUCUUUACUAGCUGCCUGUACGACACCUGGGGAAAGAGUUCUGUUUUGGUAUUUGGGUGAUGGGAGGGUUAGUUUUGGAAGCGGGAUAAUCUCGCUCUUUCUGGAUCUUUAAGGAGAGGAUGAGAGUCCGUGUUGUUUAUUUCAGUGGCUCUCAACCUUUCCAGACUAUGGUACCCCUUUCAGG